ACAGAAAUUGCUAUGCAGUUAUGGAACUUGUCACUUUACAAGAACAAAGAAGUCUUACCAAUGGCAGCUGCUGCAAGACAUUUGAUGACAACUGGGGGUGGAUCACAACCUGGAUAAAAAGGAGCUGAUGCAUAUUCUGCAAAGCUGAGACAAAUGAUUGCAAAAGAGCUGGGCUUUGUGACGAGUAAGCUUGUCCAAGAAAACAAAAAUGCUGGAAUUGGGCCAAAUGCUUCCAUGAGUGUUGCAAGAACUCCACAGGCUGUCCAGAUGAUUAAACAAGGACCCACAGCUCCAGCAUUGGCAAGUACUGAUUUUGGAGAAACAAAGAUACCUGAGCCAAUAAUUGUACCAACAAUCAUACAGAUUCCACUGAUCAGGCCCACCUUGAAAUAAAAGGAGACAUUUUGAUUUACCAGCCAGUUAGAGAGCAAGACAUGUCCAUGUCUGAAACCAGAAUACGCAGAAGCAACAGCAGCUUAAGUACAGAGGUUAUAAAAGGUAAUCAUUAAACCCAUUCUCAGCCAAGAAGCUUUGAGAUGGGAACCACAGGUAAACCAAUAGUCCA